AUUGAACGCUGGCGGCAUGCUUUACACAUGCAAGUCGAACGGUAACAGGGAGCUUGCUCCGCUGACGAGUGGCGAACGGGUGAGUAAUGCGUCGGAACGUGCCGAGUAGUGGGGGAUAACGCAUCGAAAGGGAUGCUAAUACCGCAUACGAACUGAGGUUGAAAGUGGGGGACCUUCGGGCCUCACGCUAUUCGAGCGGCCGACGUCGGAUUAGCUAGUUGGUGAGGUAAAGGCUCACCAAGGCGACGAUCAGUAGCGGGUCUGAGAGGAUGAUCCGCCACACUGGGACUGAGACACGGCCCAGACUCCUACGGGAGGCAGCAGUGGAGAAUUUUGGACAAUGGGCGAAAGCCUGAUCCAGCCAUGCCGCGUGUCUGAAGAAGGCCUUCGGGUUGUAAAGGACUUUUGUCCGGGAGCAAAUGCUGGUGGCUAACAUCCACCGGAGCUGAGAGUACCGGAAGAAUAAGCACCGGCUAACUACGUGCCAGCAGCCGCAGUAAGAC
rnacentral:rRNA from 1 species